GGGUGCGUAGGCGGUACGGUAAGUCUGUAGUAAAAGGCGGCAGCUCAACUGUCGUAGGCUAUGGAAACUGUCGAACUAGAGUGCAGAAGAGGGCGAUGGAACUCCAUGUGUAGCGGUAAAAUGCGUAGAUAUAUGGAAGAACACCAGUGGCGAAGGCGGUCGCCUGGUCUGUAACUGACGCUGAAGCACGAAAGCGUGGGGAGCAAAUAGGAUUAGAUACCCUAGUAGUCCACGCCGUAAACGAUGAGAACUAAGUGUUGGGGGAAUAACUCAGUGCUGCAGUUAACGCAAUAAGUUCUCCGCCUGGGGAGUAUGCACGCAAGUGUGAAACUCAAAGGAAUUGACGGGGGCCCGCACAAGCGGUGGAGUAUGUGGUUUAAUUCGAAGCAACGCGAAGAACCUUACCAGGCCUUGACAUCCCCGGCGAAGACAUGGAGACAUGUCGGAGGUUAACCGGGAGACAGGUGGUGCAUGGUUGUCGUCAGCUCGUGUCGUGAGAUGUUGGGUUAAGUCCCGCAACGAGCGCAACCCUUGUGAUAUGUUACUAACAGUAAGAUGAGGACUCAUAUCAGACUGCCGGUGACAAACCGGAGGAAGGUGGGGAUGACGUCAAAUCAUCAUGCCCCUUAUGGCCUGGGCUACACACGUACUACAAUGGCGGCUACAAAGAGCGGCGAACCCGCGAGGGGGAGCGAAUCUCAUAAAGGUCGUCUCAGUUCGGAUUGAAGUCUGCAACCCGACUUCAUGAAGUUGGAAUCGCUAGUAAUCGCGAAUCAGCAUGUCGCGGUGAAUACGUUCUCGGGCCUUGUACACACCGCCCGUCAAACCAUGGGAGUUGGUAAUACCCGAAGCCGGUGGCAUAACC
rnacentral:rRNA from 1 species